AUGCCGGAUGGUCAUGCAAAUCUCCAGCAUCAAGGGAGCCAGCAGCAAUGGUGGCUGCCAGAUGAUCAUCAUACAAAUGCUAUGCACCAAGGGAGCCAGCAGCAAUGGGUACAGCCAGAGCAGCAACACCCAACGUCGGCAAACGUCGAUGCAUCCCACUUCUCGAAUCCUGGUUACCCAGCCGAGCAGCAGUACAACAGCAGAGCCUUCCAACAAGACCAGAGGCGGCCGCCAUUCUCAGGCGGGGCGCGCUCAACGGAUCAGCACCAGCAGUACUACUACCCCCAAAGCAGACACGAUAUACCAGGAGGGUCCAGCGAGAGAUACCGUACGACUGCGAGCAUGGGUGCAGGCAGCUAUGGCCACUGGCACCAGACUCCGACUCCUCCACAGCAGCAGCACGGCGGCAGGACGUACCGGUGGGGUUUCCAGGAUUUGGGCAGGCAGGCGCAGAUCAACAACCUGCCUCCAAUGCAGGCCGGGAGGAGCAUGCUGCUGUCGGGGCUGCAUCCCGCUGGAACUGGAAGCCCGCAGACGAGCUCUCCGACCACCGGCUCCGAUGGCAGCGUCACAAGCACGUUCCUUGUGCCUCCCAGUGGCUACCACCAGUACCCGCCGCCGCAUGGGAUAUGCUGA
rnacentral:rRNA from 1 species